GAUGAACGCUGGCGGCAUGCCUAAUACAUGCAAGUCGAGCGAACAGACGAGGAGCUUGCUCCUCUGACGUUAGCGGCGGACGGGUGAGUAACACGUGGAUAACCUACCUAUAAGACUGGGAUAACUUCGGGAAACCGGAGCUAAUACCGGAUAAUAUAUUGAACCGCAUGGUUCAAUAGUGAAAGACGGUUUUGCUGUCACUUAUAGAUGGAUCCGCGCCGCAUUAGCUAGUUGGUAAGGUAACGGCUUACCAAGGCAACGAUGCGUAGCCGACCUGAGAGGGUGAUCGGCCACACUGGAACUGAGACACGGUCCAGACUCCUACGGGAGGCAGCAGUAGGGAAUCUUCCGCAAUGGGCGAAAGCCUGACAGAGCAACGCCGCGUGAGUGAUGAAGGUCUUCGGAUCGUAAAACUCUGUUAUUAGGGAAGAACAAAUGUGUAAGUAACUAUGCACGUCUUGACGGUACCUAAUCAGAAAGCCACGGCUAACUACGUG
rnacentral:rRNA from 1 species